CUUUUCCCCACAAGCCCGUGAACUAAGAUGAACUGCACUUGUUUGGAACUUAACUUUGCUUAUUCAGAGAUUAAACCCCGUUGUCAGCCUGUAAAAUCUAUAUUGCAAAAGCACUGAUAAAGAACACUUCCUUCUUCCAUGCAGCACUUUUGUCAAGCCAUCUCUGCUCUGGCCAGAUAAAUCACAUUACACAGGGAGAAGGCAAAUCUACCCAACUACAGCACAAAUCUGGGGAAAAAACAAAUCAAUUGUAUGAAAGAGUCCUCAUGAAUGAAGACAAGGAACCAUUGGCCUGACUCACAUCUCAAUGCAUUUUCCAGUGAAGAGCUGUAAAGGACCUCAGAGGAAAAACCUGUCAAAUCAAGAAGAGAUUUUUAUUUUUUUUUAAUAGAAAUAUAGGUCUAAUUGUACAGCGUGAUUCUGGCAGCAAUUUUAGCUGAAAUUUAGAAAUUUCUAGCGAUUUGCACCUAACAUAAUAAACUUGUCCUUACUUUAAAGACCA
rnacentral:lncRNA from 1 species